AGUUGGAUGCUUAACUGCCUGAAACACCCAGGUGCCCCAGAAUUUUAAUGGUUUGGAUCGUCGUGUUGAUAGGGUCAUUCUCAGGGUCACCCUCAGCACUGUCCGGGACUGCAUUGUCCUCGGGGUCACUAAACUAGAAAUAUGUGAUGGCAGACUCUCCUUUUCAAUAGAGAAGGGGCGGGAGCCCACGGACCUUAGGCUGACACCGGGUGCGAGCAGCCUUCCGACGUGUCACCAACUGCCCUCCUCAUCCGUGGCAAAGACCUAGCUCCCCUUUGGCUCUUGGACCCAAAGAAUUGGCUGUGGGUGAUGCUGUUAUUGAAACAGUGCCCUGACCUGGGGGAGAUGCCUCCUAGCGUUUUCAGAAGCAGACUCAAGAGUAUUAUACUCCCUUAGAUUUUUUCUUUCUGGUUCUUUUGCACCUAUCUGUGGCUUCAUUCUCCCAGUUGCUCAAAAAACGUUGUGUCCUAAGCCUUCGUGUUAGCAGGGUGGCCGCGGUACCCUGUGUCCGGAUCCCGGGACAGGCUGUGAAUUUGCAUCCACAUUUCAGCCUUGGCUGCUCACGAAGGAUGCUGGUGCCUCCCUGGUGGUGAGUGACGGGGCGUCUGUAGAGCAGGUGUCUGGUAAGGGUUCUCGCCCCGCAAGGCAUGUCCUUUGGGUCCCCGUCUUUCGGUGGCCCCAGCGGGUGCAGCCCUGGGUCUGGAGCCGCUGUGGGACCGCCUGCUACGUAGGUGACCACCUACAGACCGACGUGAGGCUCACUCUGGCUCCGGCAGCCUCUUUUAUCACGGAGCAGACGCCCUCCCUUCCCAUUGGAAGAUCUUCUCUCCCGCGUGUCAAGCAGACGGUUUGACACGCUCCUCUGAGGAAAAGAACAAAGGGAGAGAAUAUUCAGAUAUUAACAGGAAAUCAGCGUGUCUCGCCCGGUUGUAUCGCUGAUGACGUCACCCGUGGGAUCACGUGGCCCCUGAGCCCGGGACACCAGGAGUCCUAUCGGGAGUGUAGACAAGACAUUCGGCUCCCUGUCCAAAGGCAGAAGCCAAGGCCAGGAGGAGUUUGUGGCCGAGUGCCAAGGCCAAAGCUGACUUCUGUGCGUCUAGAGAGAGGAGAGUACUCACCGCUGCCGACCUGAUGUUACUUAGAUGUGGUGCCUCCCCACUAGAGAGCUCUCUGGUCUGUGCUGUAUCUAGCCCCAGGACAGUGCCUGGCGCACAGAAGGGAGGAGAGCACCUGGGGAGAGGACGUUGAAACAGCGGGGCCUCCAGAGCAAAUGCUGAGCCCAGGGCUCUGGGGGGACCACUGAGACCAGCCUGGACUGCACUGCUUUUACGCCGCCCCUCCCGUCGGUGCCGCGGCCGGCAGCCGCCCCCCGGCCCGCAGGUGCCUCUGCCUCUGCGGUGCCGCUGCUGUUGCUUCCCGGAGGAGACCCGUCCGGAGACACCCACGCCUUAGCAGGCGGGGACGUGGAGGGGCCCCGUGGCUGAGGCCGGGCUCGGGGUCAGUCCCCCACCUCCAGGUGGCCGGUCUUGUGUGGCUCCGCCGGGUUGCUCCCCGCUCCCCGUGGGUGACGAGGUAGCGGCGGUACCUGGGAGCGUCUCGUGGUCCUUACGCGGCGUCCGGAUGUCAGAGAACCAAGAAGGGCACCGUGAGCGCGGGGAGGCGGAAGGCCACAUCCGAGACCCCCUGUGUUCUUCCUUGGAGCCCCCUUCCCGCCGUGCUCCAGCUCCCUCCCUACACGCCAGCCCCCUGCUUCCGAGGGCACCUCGAGUCGCUUUUUCCACUUUGUGAGCACGGAGCGUUCCCAGGUUGUACCCUCGAACCCCACACCCCCUUUCCGUCCCGGCGUCCUUCCCCAAGGAAGGACUGGGAAGCUCGGAGCUGCGGGGCUCCCCGCUGCUCGGGGACGACGUGUCCCCCCCCCCCCCCCCACCGGCACAGGGCACAGGAGGUUCCCCGCUGCGGCCAGGCGAGCGGGUGGCCCUGACGCCCUGCCUCCUACUCUCGCCCCUUCUUG